rnacentral:lncRNA from 1 species
GGCAUUCCUGGUCUCAGCUGGGAGGGGUUUCCUAGUCUAUAAAUGCCAACACAGUUGGGAACAGGGACCGGAGUCCCUUGAGCAAAAGGACCAUCCAUCUACUGACGGAAGGCAGAAGAUCAUCCAUAGAACAGUAAACAUGUUUAAGGUGGACCUAGCAGAGCAAGCAACAAAACUUGCAGGGAAUGCUGCACAGGAUAAAGUGAAUGCAGCAAGUGAAGCCGUGCAGCAGGUGGUGGGUGAUGUGACUGAAGCCGGUCAGAAAGUGGUUGAUGAUGCCUGCAAAACUGUACAAGAUGCUGGUGAAAAAGUGUCCCAAGGUGUAACAAGCCAGGUAACCUCCUGGGGUAAAAGCUUUGGCCAGAGCGAAGAAAAGAAGAAUGUUUCAACCUGAAUUACUUUGCCAUGAACUUCUACUUCAGGAAAUUCUUCAGCUGACGUAUAAUAUAUAUUACAAUAUUUGUAUUGUCAUUAAACCCAGAGAGUGUGUAAUAUGCUAUUUGGUGAUUGAUUAAUUAAUAAAGAAACAAACUAACAGGCA